rnacentral:rRNA from 1 species
AACGAACGCUGGCGGCAUGCCUAACACAUGCAAGUCGAACGAGACCUUCGGGUCUAGUGGCGCACGGGUGCGUAACGCGUGGGAACCUGCCCUUAGGUUCGGAAUAACUCCCCGAAAGGGGUGAUAAUACCGGAUAAUGUCUUCGGACCAAAGAUUUAUCGCCUUUGGUUGGGCCUGCGUUGGAUUAGCUAGUUGGUAGGGUAAAAGCCUACCAAGGCGACGAUGCAUAGCUGGUCUGAGAGCAUGACCAGCCACACUGGGAGUGAGAAACGGCCCAGACACCUCGGGAUGGAAGCAGGUGGGAAGAUGCAACACUGCGCGAGAGCCGAAUCCAGCCGGGCCGCGAGGGUGUGGAGGCCCGGAGGGUUGAAAAGCGCUUUUACCCGGCAGGAUAUUGACGGUACCGGAAGAAAAAGCCCCGGCUAACUCCGUG